GACAGAGGGUGCAAACGUUGUUCGGAUUUACUGGGCGUAAAGGGCGCGUAGGCGGCCCGUUUUGUCAGGCGUGAAAGCCCUGGGCUCAACCUGGGAACUGCGCUUGGGACGGAUGGGCUUGAGAUCGGGAGAGGAGAGUGGAAUUCCCAGUGUAGAGGUGAAAUUCGUAGAUAUUGGGAAGAACACCGGUGGCGAAGGCGGCCUACUGGGCCAGCACUGACGCUGAGGCGCGAAAGCUCGGGGAGCGAACGGG
rnacentral:rRNA from 1 species